AUUUAUCGGGAGGGAAACUGGCGAACGGGUGAGUAACGCGUAGACAACUUGCCUUCGGGAUAGGGACAACCCUGUGAAAACGGGGCUAAUACCAAAUGAGAUCAUUCCAUUAUUGUGGAAUGAUGAAAGGGGGCUCCGGCUCCCGCCUGAAGAUGGGUCUGCGUCUGAUUAGCUUGUUGGUAGGGUAAUGGCCUACCAAGGCUACGAUCAGUAGCUGGUCUGAGAGGAUGAUCAGCCACACUGGGACUGAGAUACGGCCCAGACUCC
rnacentral:rRNA from 1 species